ACAGCAGCAGCCGCGGUAAUACGGAGGGGGCUAGCGUUGUUCGGAAUUACUGGGCGUAAAGCGCACGUAGGCGGCUUGGUAAGUUAGAGGUGAAAGCCCGGAGCUCAACUUCGGAAUUGCCUUUAAGACUGCCGAGCUAGUAGGUGAGAGAGGUAAGUGGAAUUCCGAGUGUAGAGGUGAAAUUCGUAGAUAUUCGGAAGAACACCAGUGGCGAAGGCGGCUUACUGGCUCACUCUAGACGCUGAGGUGCGAAAGCGUGGGGAGCAAACAGGAUUAGAUACCCCUGUAGUCCCUGUCUCUUAUAC
rnacentral:rRNA from 1 species